GAGCCGGCUCCGGCCUCAGCUGGCCCAGAGAGGGGCUCCCUCAGUGCAGUGGCGAGCUGAAGGGCUCCUCAAGGGCGGCUGGAGUGGACGCUGAGGCCGAGGAGACGCCAAGAGCAAACGAGGGCUGCUAGUACAUUGUCACCUCUCACUGGUAACUACAGUUGCUGUCAGUUUAACUCUCAUGGUAGGGAGAACCCCCACAAGGAGACUGCACUUCAAAGUCCCUCCUGGAUCCCAUUCAGAUCCAAAACUGAGCACCUGCUCUGUGCCAAGAAAUGCUCUAUGGAAAUGAAUCAGUUCCCACCAUCCAGGAGGUCACAGCCUGCUCAGAUGCAAAAGAACUCCAUGCAGGCUAAGCCUUCUUCCCACCAACAUGGAUUGUGCUGAAAGAUGGCAAAUACUUGUAUGCUGACAGUUUUCUACAGCUUAAGACCCGGUUCUUGAUGGGAGAAAAAUAAACAUCAUCAGCUGCUUCCUUCCUAAUAACCAUACUAUUUUAAGGGAACUUGAGAUUUUGUUUAUAAACUACACUGAUGGUUAUGUAACCAAUGAGAUCUAUAUUUCUGGCACAUUUCCUUUCAUACAGACUCAAUUAAAAUUUUCAGCCCUCAUAGUAAUCUUUACAUUUUGUGGUUUACUUGACAACCUGGUGAACCUUGACAUUUACCUGAAAGUCAGAUAUGCGUUUUAAGGUAUCAGGAGAAAAAGAGUUUUCUUCUGAGGUAAAGGAGGCAGUGUGA
rnacentral:lncRNA from 1 species